UACGUAGGGUGCAAGCGUUGUCCGGAAUUAUUGGGCGUAAAGAGCUCGUAGGCGGCUUGUCGCGUCGGCUGUGAAAACCUGGGGCUCAACCCCAAGCCUGCGGUCGAUACGGGCAGGCUAGAGUUCGGUAGGGGAGACUGGAAUUCCUGGUGUAGCGGUGAAAUGCGCAGAUAUCAGGAGGAACACCGGUGGCGAAGGCGGGUCUCUGGGCCGAUACUGACGCUGAGGAGCGAAAGCGUGGGGAGCGAACAGG
rnacentral:rRNA from 1 species